CAGCCGCCGCGGUAAUACGGAGGCUCCAAGCGUUAUCCGGAAUCAUUGGGUUUAAAGGGUCCGUAGGCGGGUGUGUCAGUCAGUGGUGAAAGUCUGCAGCUCAACUGUAGAACUGCCAUUGAUACUGCAUACCUUGAGUAAUUAUGAAGUGGUUAGAAUAUGUAGUGUAGCGGUGAAAUGCAUAGAUAUUACAUAGAAUACCGAUUGCGAAGGCAGAUCACUAAUAAUUUACUGACGCUGAUGGACGAAAGCGUAGGUAGCGAACAGGAUUAGAUACCCUGGUAGUCUACGCCGUAAACGAUGGUUACUAGCUGUUUGGCUCGAUUGAGAGCUGAGUGGCUAAGCGAAAGUGAUAAGUAACCCACCUGGGGAGUACGUUCGCAAGAAUGAAACUUAAAGGAAUUGGCGGG
rnacentral:rRNA from 1 species